UUUUAUUUUUAAGUUUGCGUUGCAAACUUGUAUUAUUAAAUACUGUUCCUCAUUGCAUUGCGGAACAGUGUAAAAAAGUCAAUCGAUUGUUGAAACAAUCUUCUUGACUUUUUAUGGGA
rfam:Treponema porcinum strain ATCC BAA-908 genome assembly, contig: EI69DRAFT_scaffold00001.1